AUUGAACGCUGGCGGCAGGCCUAACACAUGCAAGUCGAACGGUUGAAGGGAGCUUGCUCCUGGUUUCAUCGGCGGUCGGGUGAGUAAUGCCUAUGAAUCUGCAUGUUCGUGGGGGAUAACGUCCGCAAAUGGGCGCUAAUACCGCUUACGUCUUGCGGGGGAAAGUGGGGGAGCUUCGGAUCUCACGCUAUCAGAUUAGCCUAGGUCGGAUUAGCUAGUUGGUGGGGUAAAGGCCUACCUAGGCGACGAUCCGUAACUGGUCUGAGAGGAUGAUCAGUCACACUGGAACUGAGACACGGUCCAGACUCCUACGGGAGGCAGCAGUGGGGAAUAUUGGACAAUGGGCGAAAGCCUGAUCCAGCCAUGCCGCGUGUGUGAAGAAGGCCUUCGGAUUGUAAAGUACUUUAAGCGGGGAGGAAGGGCAGAAAGUUAAUACCUUGCUGCAUUGACGUUACCAACAGAAUAAGCACCGGCUAACUUCGUG
rnacentral:rRNA from 1 species